rnacentral:rRNA from 1 species
UACGAAGGGGGCUAGCGUUGUUCGGAAUUACUGGGCGUAAAGCGCGCGCAGGCGGCUAUCCAAGUCAGUGGUGAAAGCCCGGAGCUCAACUCCGGAACUGCCAUUGAAACUGUUUAGCUUGAGGAUGAGAGAGGUGAGUGGAAUUCCCAGUGUAGAGGUGAAAUUCGUAGAUAUUCGGAAGAACACCAGUGGCGAAGGCGACUUACUGGACACAUAUUGACGCUGAGGUGCGAAAGCGUGGGGAGCAAACGGG